AAAAUUUGUAAUAAAGACAUCAGCUCCUCAAAGUAUUUUUUGGGUCCCUCCAAGAAUAUCAUAACAUUAUCUGCAAACAUUGCAACUUUUUGUUCAUUCCUGGCAGCCAUGACUCCCUUUAUUCUUUCAUCUGUCUUAUCAACUGAACUAAGGGCUCAAUAUAAAUAGCAAAAAGGAAGGAGAGGCUCCUGUUAAUCUUAUACGAGCCCUUGGCUUAUUGUAGAUGCACUGAAUUAAUGUAAUGAAUUUGUCUUUAAAGCCUAAUUUUUCCCGCAGUUCAUAUAAGAAUAUCCAUUGACUGAAUUGAAUGCCUUCUUGGCAUCUAAUCCAACAAUUAUGGCUAUGGUCUUGUCCUUAUUCAUUUGUUCUAUAACAUGUAAGGAACGUCUGAUGUUAUCCAGAGUCUGUCUUUGCUGGAUAAAUCCACACUGAUCUAAAUGUAUCGAUUCAGGUAA